rnacentral:rRNA from 1 species
AGGCUUAACACAUGCAAGUCGAGGGGUAACAGGGGAGCUUGCUCCCGCUGACGACCGGCGCACGGGUGAGUAACGCGUAUGCAACCUACCUUUAACUGGAGGAUAGCUUCGAGAAAUCGUAAUUAAUACUCCAUAACAUCUACGAGUCGCAUGGCUUGUAGAUUAAAGCUCCGGCGGUUAAAGAUGGGCAUGCGUAUCAUUAGCUUGUUGGUGAGGUAAUAGCUCACCAAGACUACGAUGUCUAGGGGGUCUGAGAGGAUGAUCCCCCACACUGGUACUGAGACACGGACCAGCCUCCUACGGGAGGCAGCAGUGAGGAAUAUUGGUCAAUGGGCGAAAGCCUGAACCAGCCAUCCCGCGCGUAGGAAGACUGCCCUAUGGGUUGUAAACUACUUUUAUAAAGGAAGAAACCCUGUUACGUGUAAGAGGCUGACUGUACUUUACGAAUAAGCACCGGCUAACUCCGUGCCAGCAGCCGCGGUAAUACGGAGGGUGCAAGCGUUAUCCGGAUUUAUUGGGUUUAAAGGGUCCGUAGGUGGAAUUGUAAGUCAGUGGUGAAAUCUUUCGGCUUAACCGGAAAACUGCCAUUGAUACUGCAGUUCUUGAGUAUGCUCGAAGUAGGCGGAAUAUGUCAUGUAGCGGUGAAAUGCAUAGAUAUGACAUAGAACACCAAUAGCGAAGGCAGCUUACUAGAUCAUAACUGACACUGAGGGACGAAAGCGUGGGGAGCGAACAGGAUUAGAUACCCUGGUAGUCCACGCCGUAAACGAUGAUCACUCGUUGUUGGCAAUACACCGUCAGCGACUGAGCGAAAGCAUUAAGUGAUCCACCUGGGGAGUACGUCGGCAACGAUGAAACUCAAAGGAAUUGACGGGGGCCCGCACAAGCGGAGGAACAUGUGGCUUAAUUCGAUGAUACGCGAGGAACCUUACCUGGGUUUAAAUGUAGAACGACUUUCGCCGAAAUCCUUUUUCCUUCGGGACUAUUUACAAGGUGCUGCAUGGUUGUCGUCAGCUCGUGCCGUGAGGUGUCGGGUUAAGUCCCAUAACGAGCGCAACCCCUAUCGUUAGUUUCCAGCGGGUCAUGCCGGGGACUCUAGCGAGACUGCCACCGUAAGGUGAGAGGAAGGUGGGGAUGACGUCAAAUCAGCACGGCCCUUAUGUCCAGGGCUACACACGUGUUACAAUGGCAGGUACAAAGGGCACCUACACAGCGAGGUGAUGCUAAUCUUCUAAAGCCUGUCCCAGUUCGCAUUGGAGUCUGCAACCCGACUCCAUGAAGUUGGAUUCGCUAGUAAUCGGAUAUCAGCAAUGAUCCGGUGAAUACGUUCCCGGGCCUUGUACACACCGCCCGUCAAACCAUGGAAGCUGGGG